AGCGACCUCAUCGCCGCCCCUCUCCCGUGAUCUCUCAUCUCCCCCGCAGGUUCCCCGCCGUCACCCCGACAACUCCGCCGCCGCCGCGACAACUCCCUCUAUCAUAGGUAUUUUGAUCAUUGGUGGAGAUCACAGGCUCAAGUGUGGGAUCAAAAAGCUCGUGGGAUGCUGCAACUGCCUUUGCCUUGUUACUGUCGGUGGUUUAUUCAAGCGUAUCAGUUUUUGUAGGAUACUGGGUUUCCAAAACCAAGUCGGUUUCUUUCAUGCCUAUUGACAGGCUUUAAUACAUCAUUGUAGUAGUAAAGUUGUAUCUUUAUGUUGUAUUAUAUCUGGGUGUAAUUGAUGUUAUGAGAUGGAUAUUCUUUCAUUUAAUUUUUUACGGAGUUGCAACUUCCGUCGAGAUGA